rnacentral:rRNA from 1 species
UACGUAGGGACCAAGCGUUGUUCGGAUUUACUGGGCGUAAAGGGCGCGUAGGCGGCAAUUCAAGUCAUCUGUGAAAUCUCCGGGCUUAACCCGGAACGGUCAGAUGAUACUGCUUUGCUAGAGUGCGGAAGGGGCAAUCGGAAUUCUUGGUGUAGCGGUGAAAUGCGUAGAUAUCAAGAGGAACACCUGAGGUGAAGACGGGUUGCUGGGCCGACACUGACGCUGAUAGCGCGAAAGCCAGGGAGCAAACGGG